UCCUGGUUAACCCAGGCAGUCUCGUCAGAGUGCCCAACUUAAUGCUGGCAACAGACGAUAGGGGUUGCGCUCGUUGCGAGACUUAACCCAACAUUUCACAACACGAGCUGACGACAGCCAUGCAGCACCUCUCACUACAUUUCCUUGCGGACACCCCGUCGAUUAAAACAGGUUCGUAGGAGUUCAAGCCUAGGUAAGGUUCUGCGCGUUGCGUCGAAUUAAGCCACAUGCUCCGCCGCUUGUGCGGGCCCCCGUCAAUUCCUUUGAGUUUUAGCCUUGCGGCCGUACUCCCCAGGCGGCGGACUUACCGCGUUAGCUGCGGCACCGAGGGGGUCGACACCGCCCACACCUAGCACCCAUCGUUUACGGCGUGGACUAC
rnacentral:misc_RNA from 1 species